CAAUUAUUUACUUGUUAUAAAAUGAAAAAUCACUAAAUCAUUAAUACACCCUAUAGGUUGCAUUCUUUUUUUUUUUUUGGUCUUGAAUAACUUUGAUUAAGAAUGUGUACCCAACCAAAACUACUGUUGGGGCAUUUAAUAAACUGAAAAUUCACCUGUGGCAGAAUCUAUUCAAAUCUCAGGGUUUCAGGUUCUUUUCCUGGCAAAAGUGAGCACCAUUCUGUAAUUGCUUACAUAUUGCAAGAUAUAUUUAAAACACAUCCUCCCUAGCAUUAUAACCAUGGUAGACCUGCCCAAGAGAGAUGGCAAACUGGAAGAUAAAUGGUACUUUGACACUUGUGUAAGUCCAUUAAAUCAGAGGGCAUGGGCUAAAAAUAUGCUACUGGAUCCGCUUUGAGGUCAGUAAGAACCAGGGUUUUCUGCUUAUCUGAUGAUUUUCAGAAAGUUUAGCAGAUAAAUGCAGCUCACUACAUUGUAAAAUUCAGGGUUGGAGAUGUGUAUCUGACCAUUUAAAACACUGGCACUAAAACAUUUUUUUUGUGUCCUAUAAAAUAUUCAAAAAAAAGCUUGGCUGUCAAUCAGAACUCUUUUUAUAUUGGUGUAG